rnacentral:rRNA from 1 species
GAUGAACGCUGGCGGCGUGCCUAAUACAUGCAAGUCGAACGCUUCACUUCGGUGAAGAGUGGCGAACGGGUGAGUAAUACAUAAGUAACCUGGCAUCUACAGGGGGAUAACUGAUGGAAACGUCAGCUAAGACCGCAUAGGUGUAGAGAUCGCAUGAACUCUAUAUGAAAAGUGCUACGGGACUGGUAGAUGAUGGACUUAUGGCGCAUUAGCUUGUUGGUAGGGUAACGGCCUACCAAGGCGACGAUGCGUAGCCGACCUGAGAGGGUGACCGGCCACACUGGGACUGAGGCACGGCCCAGACUCCUACGGGAGGCAGCAGUAGGGAAUUUUCGGCAAUGGGGGAAACCCUGACCGAGCAACGCCGCGUGAAGGAAGAAGUAAUUCGUUAUGUAAACUUCUGUCAUAGAGGAAGAACGGUGGAUAUAGGGAAUGAUAUCCAAGUGACGGUACUCUAUAAGAAAGCCACGGCUAACUACGUG